rnacentral:rRNA from 1 species
GACGAACGCUGGCGGCGUGCUUAACACAUGCAAGUCGAACGAAGUGGCGAACGGGUGAGUAAUACGUGAGUAACCUGCCCUCCUUUUUGGGAUAAGCCUUGGAAACGGGGUCUAAUACCGAAUAAAGGGGGUUGGGCUCGCGGCCUAUCAGCUUGUUGGUGGGGUGAUGGCCUAACAAGGCGGUGACGGGUAGCCGGCCUGAGAGGGUGACCGGGAACGUAGGGACGGUGAUACGGCCUAGAGGAGUACGGGAGGGAGCAGGUGGGGAAAUUGCACAAUGGGCGAAAGCGUGAUGCAGCGACGCGGCGUGGGGGAUGAAGGCUUUCGGGUUGUAAACCUCUGGAGCUAUCGAACGGGUAGGUAGAGAAAAAGCGCCGGCUACCUACGUGCCAGCGGCGGCGGUAAUA